UGUCUGCAGAAUAACACAUGACAAGAUCCCAUAAGCCAGGUAAUCCUGAUGCUUCCCAGUAGGUCCUGCUCUCUCCUGGGAAUGAAGCCAUAUCUGAGUCCCCUAUGACAGGUUUACCGCAGUCAGUCAACAGUCUACACCUUCUCACAGAGCUUCAACACACUAGACCAGAUCUGAAUUCCCAGGUUCAAGGCUGUUUCUGGCUAUUUUAAUGCCAUAGCUGGACUGUUUCCCUUGUUGGCAUCUCCUUAACAGGCAACAACCUAGUUUGGCUAGAAUUGGAUCUGUCUGGGGUGAAAAUCUUCAUUAAAGUCUUCUAAUCUGCCACAGCCGGUGCACUUCUUGCAUUGGCAUUUCGCUUGACAUCCAAAACUUACAGAACUGCAGCUCUGAGCAGUUAAUGCUAAAUACCAAAUUGCCUCUUUGUCUCCGUAGCUGUGCUUUAGACAUUAAAAUAAGUGAGGAAUAUCGAUUACGCUGUCGCUGUGUGAAGGGGGACAGGUCCUUUCCUGACUAAUUUAUAGGAAAAUGCACCUUGUGGCUCCUCCCUUGACACAGUGUUUAUUCAGCAGAAAUAAUUGGUAAUAGCUGAAAGGUAACGUGAGCAGAAUGAUCAUAUUUCUGCCUGUGCUGGUAACAUCUCAUGCAUUUUUAUGCAGUACAGCAGCAGUAUUAGAACCGAUAAUGUUCAGUAAUUAAAGCUUCAUGAAUGGGUGAAAUGGAGCCUGUACUGAAACUCAUUGCUUAUUUUGUAUAGUGCAGUGGUGCUCAUUUCAGUUGGCGGACCAUAAAAAAAAAACCCUUGAUGACCACUGAACAACCCAAAUCUCCUUUGUUCAUAUUGUUUUUUCCAUUCAUCAAGAAUCCUGAAGAAUAUAUCAUGGUUUCCACAAAAAUAUGGAGAAACACAACUGUCUUCAACAUUGAUGACAAUAAACAUUAUUUAGAAAUCACUAUAAUAUUCUGAUUGCUGUUCAAUGACACUGAAGACUGAAAAUACAGCAUUGCAUGGCAGGAAUAAAUUACAUAUUAAAGUAUAUUACAAUUGA